UGAGAGGUUCGAUUGGCGUCAAGCUCAUCGAAAAUAGAACCUUACAAGCAUAUUUUUCGGGGACUGUCCCUGACGAUGGUGUGAAAGCCCAGCACCGACUGGGAAUCCUAAAGUCGUUAUCAUGGUCACCCACUUUGUGCACCGAGGUUCUGUUUCAGAGUAGCCGGUCGAGCCUUUUUU
rnacentral:other from 1 species